rnacentral:rRNA from 1 species
CAGCAGCCACGGGAAUACGGAGGGGGCUAGCGUUGUUCGGAAUUACUGGGCGUAAAGCGCACGUAGGCGGCUUGGUAAGUUAGAGGUGAAAGCCUGGAGCUCAACUCCAGAAUUGCCUUUAAGACUGCCGAGCUAGCAGGUGAGAGAGGUAAGUGGAAUUCCGAGUGUAGAGGUGAAAUUCGUAGAUAUUCGGAAGAACACCAGUGGCGAAGGCGGCUUACUGGCUCAUACUGGACGCUGAGGUGCGAAAGCGUGGGGAGCAAACAGGAUUAGAUACCCCCGUAGUCCCUGUCUCUUAUAC